rnacentral:rRNA from 1 species
UACGGAGGGUGCAAGCGUUAUCCGGAUUCACUGGGUUUAAAGGGUGCGUAGGUGGGAUGGUAAGUCCGUGGUGAAAUCCUGCAGCUUAACUGCAGAACUGCCAUGGAUACUAUUUAUCUUGAAUGUCGUGGAGGUUAGCAGAAUAUGUCAUGUAGCGGUGAAAUGCUUAGAGAUGACAUAGAAUACCCAUUGCGAAGGCAGCUAACUACGCGAAUAUUGACGCUGAUGCACGAAAGCGUGGGGAUCAAACAGG